rnacentral:rRNA from 1 species
AUUGAACGCUGGCGGCAGGCCUAACACAUGCAAGUCGAACGAGUGGCGGACGGGUGAGCAAUGGCUGGGAUACUGCCCGAUGGAGGGGGAUAACUACUGGAAACGGUAGCUAAUACCGCAUACCAUCGGAUGUGCCCAGAUGGGAUUAGCUAGAAGGUGGGGUAACGGCUCACCUAGGCCACGAUCCCUAGCUGGUCUGAGAGGAUGACCAGCCACACUGUAACUGGGACACGGUCCAGACUCCUACGGGAGGCAGCAGUGGGGAAUAUUACACAAUGGGCGCAAGCCUGAUGCAGCCAUGCCGCGUGUAUGAAGAAGGCCUUCGGGUUGUAAAGUACUUUCAGCGAGGAGGCGUUACUCGCAGAAGAAGCACCGGCUAACUCCGUGCCAGCAGCCGCGGUAAUUC